rnacentral:rRNA from 1 species
GACGAACGCUGGCGGCGUGCUUAACACAUGCAAGUCGAGCGGUAAGGCCCUUCGGGGUACACGAGCGGCGAACGGGUGAGUAACACGUGGGUGACCUGCCCCCUACUCUGGGAUAAGCCUGGGAAACUGGGUCUAAUACCGGAUAUGACUCAUGAUCGCAUGGUUGUGGGUGGAAAGUUUUUUUCGGUGGGGGAUGGGCCCGCGGCCUAUCAGCUUGUUGGUGGGGUGAUGGCCUACCAAGGCGACGACGGGUAGCCGGCCUGAGAGGGCGACCGGCCACAAUGGGACUGAGACACGGACCAGACGCCUACGGGAGGCAACAGUGGGGAAUAUUGCGCAAUGGGCGGAAGCCUGACGCAGCGACGCCGCGUGGGGGAUGACGGCCUUCGGGUUGUAAACCUCUUUCGGCCCCGACGAAGCGUGAGUGACGGUAGGGGUAGAAGAAGCACCGGCCAACUACGUGCCAGCCGCCGCCGUAAGAC